rnacentral:piRNA from 1 species
ACUUUUGGACUUUAAUGUAGCUGGGAG